AUGGCUCAGGAUGAACGCUAGCGGCAGGCCUAACACAUGCAAGUCGAGGGGUAACAGAGAGAGCUUGCUCUUUGCUGACGACCGGCGCACGGGUGCGUAACGCGUAUACAAUCUGCCUAUCACUGAGGGAUAGCCCGAAGAAAUUUGGAUUAAUACCUCAUAGUAUUAUAGAAUCGCAUGGUUUUAUAAUUAAAGGUUACGGUGAUAGAUGAGUAUGCGUCCUAUUAGCUAGAUGGAGAGGUAAAGGCUCCCCAUGGCUACGAUAGGUAGGGGUCCUGAGAGGGAGAUCCCCCACACUGGUACUGAGACACGGACCAGACUCCUACGGGAGGCAGCAGUGAGGAAUAUUGGACAAUGGGCGCAAGCCUGAUCCAGCCAUGCCGCGUGUAGGAAGACGGCCCUAUGGGUUGUAAACUACUUUUAUACGGGAAGAAACCUAUCCUCGUGAGGGUAGCUGACGGUACCGUAAGAAUAAGCACCGGCUAACUCCGUGCCAGCAGCCGCGGUAAUACGGAGGGUGCAAGCGUUAUCCGGAAUCAUUGGGUUUAAAGGGUCCGUAGGCGGGCUAAUAAGUCAGUGGUGAAAUGCAGGGGCUCAACUCCGGCACUGCCAUUGAUACUGUUAGUCUUGAAUUAUUGUGAAGUGGUUAGAAUAUGUAGUGUAGCGGUGAAAUGCUUAGAUAUUACAUAGAAUACCGAUUGCGAAGGCAGAUCACUAACAAUAUAUUGACGCUGAUGGACGAAAGCGUGGGUAGCGAACAGGAUUAGAUACCCUGGUAGUCCACGCCGUAAACGAUGGUUACUAGCUGUUUGGACGAAUUGACGUCUGAGUGGCCAAGCGAAAGUGAUAAGUAACCCACCUGGGGAGUACGUUCGCAAGAAUGAAACUCAAAGGAAUUGACGGGGGCCCGCACAAGCGGUGGAGCAUGUGGUUUAAUUCGAUGAUACGCGAGGAACCUUACCAGGGCUUAAAUGUAGUAUGACAGAUUUGGAAACAGAUUUUUCUUCGGACAUAUUACAAGGUGCUGCAUGGUUGUCGUCAGCUCGUGCCGUGAGGUGUCAGGUUAAGUCCUAUAACGAGCGCAACCCCUAUUGCUAGUUGCCAGCGAGUCAAGUCGGGGACUCUAGCGAGACUGCCGGUGCAAACCGUGAGGAAGGUGGGGAUGACGUCAAAUCAUCACGGCCCUUACGUCCUGGGCCACACACGUGCUACAAUGGUAGGGACAGAGAGCAGCCACCACGCGAGUGGGAGCGAAUCUAUAAACCCUAUCACAGUUCGGAUCGUAGUCUGCAACUCGACUACGUGAAGC
rnacentral:rRNA from 1 species